UACGUAGGCAGCGAGCGUUGUUCGGAGUUACUGGGCGUAAAGGGUGUGUAGGCGGUUGUUUAAGUUUGGUGUGAAAUCUCCCGGCUCAACUGGGAGGGUGCGCCGAAUACUGAAUGACUCGAGUGUGGGAGAGGUGAGUGGAAUUCCUGGUGUAGCGGUGAAAUGCGCAGAUAUCGGGAGGAACACCAGUAGCGAAGGCGGCACUCUGGGCCGGUACUGACGCUGAGGAGCGAAAGCGUGGGGAGCGAACAGG
rnacentral:rRNA from 1 species